GUCAAACUGAUUUCUGAGUAGCCUCCGGACACUCCUUCCUCCAAAUAGUAGAGCCCAUUACGCAUUAUGCCAGUCCCAAGUUUCCGUCCUGUCCUUGGCUCCUGAAAGACACAAUGUGUUUUGAAAAAAGUUACGGCACAAUCAAGAUCAUUCGUAAUAGCACUAAUGGAUAGAAGAUUGAUAGAAAAUCUAGGGACAUGUAGAACAGAUGAUAAGGGU
rnacentral:lncRNA from 1 species